GACGAACGCUGGCGGCGUGCUUAACACAUGCAAGUCGAACGAAGUGGCGAACGGGUGAGUAACGCGUAAUCAACCUGCCCUUCAGAGGGGGACAACAGUUGGAAACGACUUCUAAUACAGCAUACUGAAGGAGUGGAUUGCGUCUGAUUGGCUAGUUGGAGGGGUAACGGCCCACCAGGGCGAUGAUCAGUAGCGGGGCUGAGAUGAUGGACGGCCACAUUGGGACUGAUAGACGGCCCAGACUCCUACGGGAGGAAGCAGUGUGGAAUCGUCCGGAAUGGACGAAAGGCUGACGGAGCAACGCCGCGGAAGUGAUGACGUCCUUCGUGUUGUAAAGAUCUGUUAAUCGGGACGCGGUACCGGAAUAGAAAGCCACGGCUAACUACGUGCCAGCCGCCGCGGUAAUAC
rnacentral:rRNA from 1 species